AUUGAACGCUGGCGGCAGGCCUAACAACAUGCAAGUCGAGCGGGGUUUUCGGGUACCUAGCGGCGGACGGGUGAGUAAUGCGUAGGAAGCUGCCCGAUAGAGGGGGAUACCAGUUGGAAACGACUGUUAAUACCGCAUAAUGUCUACGGACCAAAGUGUGGGACCUUCGGGCCACAUACUAUCGGAUGCGCCUACGUGGG
rnacentral:rRNA from 1 species